GACCCAGUGGUGUAAUGGUUAGCAUUUCUACUCACAUUACAUAUUAAGUGCCGCAUCGAAUUUGGUGGGAGAUCUCUGUUCAAGUCAGGGCUGGGUUC